AUAGGUACUUAUUCAACGCAGCGGACGCACGCAGAGAAUCUCCUUGGCUAUUGUUGAGUAAUUUUUUGAGAAAAAAAAACUCGUCAAGACUAAAACGCGCGCGCGGAGCAAACAUGGGAAAAUCGGCUCCGCUUCCGCGUAUCUUUCCAGCAGCUGAUGAUAUGCUGCUUUAUGGUCGACAUAUUCCGUUCUUUUUCGAAUGCAAGCAUAGGGUCUAAAACAAAAUCGUCAACGAUGUAAAAUCAUGAUGAUCAAAAAAUGAGAUUAACGCUUAAAAAAUAAUGGCGAACAUAGGGAAGCACUGAAAAACCUAUCAAUGCGGAAUACGUGAUAAAAUGAAUAGAGAGUCUCGUUAUAUGUGGGUAUAACACAUAGAUAAUAGUAUAGAGCAUCGGAGAGUAGGGGCGGAAGCAGCGUCGAGUGAGCGCUUCAAGCUCGCGACCUCCGACCUCCUAUGUGUGCCUUGUAUACGUGUAUCUCCUCUUUAUCGCUGAUAUUGCGACUACGCGCUGCACGACUGGCCGAAGCUCAGUUCGCCACGAUCUAUCGUAGCUCACGCAACUAAAGCAGUAAUUCUCUUGCCGAAUCUCCUUUGUCCGUACAAUUUGAUUACUUCAGGAUGGCGCGUUACUUGAUCGUUGCUCUCUUCGUCGUCCUCGUUGUCUGCCUUGUGCAGGCCAACUCAGCCCCAGUGCAGGAGAUAACCACCGCCAACUCGAUCGAAGAUGCCCUGAAGACAGCCGGAGACAGCCUCUCCAAAGCCUUCAACGACGCCAAGCCCAAACUCGACGAGCUCCUCGCCAAGGGACAGGAAUUCUUCGACAGCGUCGGAAAGAAGAUCUCCGAGGAGGCCAGCAAAAUAAUCCCCAAGAACGAAGAGAAGGCCUCGGCAUAAAUCACGAGCGAUAGAGACUUUGUUUUUAUCUGCGUUUCUUUUCUUUUUUUUAUUCUCAUUUUGAUAAUGCAAUGCAAUUAUGUUGCUAAUAGAACGACGCAGAAAAUUGUAGAUAAGUCUUGCCCUCGAGAUACUUCGACGUACGAUGUGCUUUUGUAAUUAUGCAGAUUUAUAUAUUUUCAAUUGGAAUCUCGCGAAAACGUUUUUUUUUUCUAUUUUUCUACUUUUAGAACGCAUAGUUGAUUACCGCUGUAUGAAACAACAAUAAAAACGACACUAUCCCCAA